ensembl:lncRNA
GAUACAGUAAGAAGGUGGCCAAUGACAAGCCAUGAAGAGGUACCUCACCAGAACUGGACCAUCCUGGCACCCUGAUCUUGGAUUUCCUGGCCUCCAGGACUACGUAAAAUAAAUGUUUAUUGUUGAAGCCACCCAGUCUGAAACCAUGCCCCAUGGAGUUAACAGAAGCUGAUAAUAGAAAUUCUUGAGCUUGUCUUGCUGCUGCUGCUGCUGCUAAGUCACUUCAGUCGUGUCCGACUCUGUGUGACCCCAUAGAUAGCAGCCCACCAGGCUCCCCCGUCCCUGGGAUUCUCCAGGCAAGAACACUGGAGUGGGUUGCCAUUUCCUCCUCCAAUGCAUGAAAGUGAAAAGUGAAAGUGAAGUCGCUCAGUCGUGUCCGACUCUUAGUGACCCCAUGGACUGCAGCCCACCAGGCCCCUCCGACCAUGGGAUUUUCCAGGCAAGAGUAUUGGAGUGGGUUGCCAUUGCCUUCUCCGUGAGCUUGUCUUACAGAAUAACAAAUAAGGAACUUGGAAUCUGCUCCUGCCCAGUGCAGGCCAGCUAAGGACUGAUUGGGACCACCCACUCCAAAUCUGGGCCAGUGCAGAUGUCCAAUGAAUGGCCUUUUGAUGUCAGAGGACCAAAAAGCUCCACUCUCAGAUCACAGUUGGAGGCAGCAAGACAGGUGGGAGAGAGCCAUUAGCAGGCUUCUGUGGUAACCAGGCAGGAGCUGAAUGUGAGAAUGAUGGCAGGCAUGGAGAAGAUGGCACGGAGACACGUUACAGAGACAAGUAGGAUGGAAUCCAGUUCUCAGCCUGUCCUUCCCAGCAUAAAGGCCACACACGCUGUGAUCCGGUCACAGAGAACUGCUCCCCUGUCCCAGGGCCAAUCAAGGUCCUCCAUACGUCCAGGUCUCUGCACAUGCUUGUCACUAUUCCUUGACAGCGUCCUUUC